rnacentral:lncRNA from 1 species
GUAUGCCGUGUGGCCGCUACCUCGCAGGCUCUCCCGGUCCCUGCUGGCGCGGCAGUGCCGCGCGGUGGGUGAUGGGAGAGCGCGCCCAUUCCCACGCCGCGCCAAGUGCCACGGGAUCAGGUGGGGCCGCGUGUACAGGCGCGAGACGGUCGGGCCAAAGCUGCCCCUCAUGAUCCCCAGCGGACGGUGCCCGGCGGUCCCUCAGAUCCGGGAAAUCUGCACCCGGCUGUGGCGUAGACCGAGGGGCCGAUGCUGCUUCAGCCCGCCGUUACUGCCCUGGCGUCAGCCAGACACUGGGGUGCUGCUGGGCGUCGAGAGGGCUGCUGCGGGGCCGGGCUAAGCCUGGGGGGCUGCAGGUGUCGGGGUGGAUGUGGGCAUAGCGGGGCUGCUGGGCCUCGUGAGCGCCCUGGAACGGCGUGCCCGCGGAGUGCCUCUCAUCACUCAUUGCCAGUGCGGGGAACCUUGUUAGGGCCCGGUUCGACGUAGCUGCAGGCUGGGCGCCAGAGGCAGGGGGCAGGCAGUCCGAGAGGACCCUCUACCUGCAUACCUGGGGGCUGCAGGCAGGGCCUCUGGGCCUCCUUGUUGUGGAUAUAAUUGUGUGCUUCCCGACUCAGGCCGAGGCUGGACCCGGAGACGACAGCGAGGGCAGGCUACCAAGCCCUCCCCACAGGGCCGUGCCCAGCCCAAGCCUGCCGAGUCAGCACCCAGAUCCUGGGACAAGAUAGGUGAGGAUGAAGUGGUGGUGCUCUUCUCACUUGCACAAGCCGUCCCACGCCACCUCUCCUCGGCUUCACGGUGCCUAGAGAAGAGGUGGGAGAGGGUGCAGGCGCCCCAGCUCAGGAUCUGAUGCCUGUGGGCCAAGGACCUGGAUGCAAGCCAGGAGUCCUUGGGGCCACGGGCAGGCAGCCGGAUUCACCGGAAAGUGACGCUUCUCAAGGGGAACACACACGUAACACACCAGCUCCCUUUCUGCCCUGGUCCAGUGACUCCUUUCAUGAAAGCUCUCUGAAAUGUUAUCUGCAUUUACACCCAAACUCACUCACUUUGAUCCCUGAAACGCGAAUCAAAGGUCACAUUGUACCUUCCCUGGGUCUGUGGGGCUUUCAGCAGCCUGGGCCAAAAAUAAUAAAAGUGGCACCGAGCCAGGAAACGCCUCCUUGAAGUGGGAAUGAAAUUUGGAUUUUUUUCGGUUGUAUCUUUCCUAAUUGACCUGAUAAUUUAAACUUCCUCCCUCAAGGGAAAGGUGGGGGUUCCCACAAAUUCAGCUUACCUCAGCCUCAAGGCAGCUCAGUCUACAGCUCAGCGCCCAUCAGCAGAGUGGGCAGUGGGCCUGUGGAAGAAAUGAAUCCAACUGAGCCAGAAAAGGCCUUUUUUGGUCCAAAUUUUUUUUUUCUUUCAGGCCCUCUCCUGUGUAUAACUGUCAUGCACCGCAUAACAACGUUUUGGUCAACUAGGGACCACAUAUGUAACUGGUCAUCCAGUAAGCUAUAGUUAUUUUAUUAUUGAAGAAAGAAAAUUUUUAGGCCAGGCGCUGUGGAGGCUCAUGCUUGUAAUCCCAGCAU